AUGUUCAACACCUUGUGGACCAACUCCGGGCUGAUUGGUUUUUAUGGGCAGCAUGAGCUCAGUUUUAUGCACAUACUUAGGAUUAUCUCAAGGACAAAAAGGAUGAACAAUCCAUUAACUAUAAUAAGCAACUGCACAUCUCAAGGUAGCUACAGCAUAUAUUUGAUUUCAAAAGAAAAGACUGAAUUAAAAUAUGUUUGUCCAGAAAUGUCUAACCUCCAACACGCAGAAACAGCAUUUUCUGUUCUCCAUGCUCUGUGAAUUGGUAAUAUCGCAUACUGUGCAAGGAGAGAAUGUACCAGUCACCUGCUCAGCUUUAUGCCACAGAAAGUGUGAAAAACAGGUACAGGAGUUAACAUUCUCAGAGUGACAGCUUUCGAGCUCUUGCAUAUGCUUUAUUCAUUACUUUUCCUAAGGAAAGAAUGCUAAAAUGUAGAGCUGAGUGUCACCUUCUCAUUUCAGUUCAGGCCGUUACUUAAUAGGUCAAAGCCAAAGUAAAACCAAAGUGAAGGACUCGACAGGGCAUUCAACUGGGCACAAGCUAUCUAGAAGAAUGCACAAGCCAGCAGUGGUGGCCUCUGGGGACAGAAGAGGAGGAGUAGAAGUGAGAAGGAGAACUAUUUUUCAAUGGGUUCUCUUUUGUUCCAUUUGAACAUUUUACUUGAUGCCCAUAUUGCUUUAAUAACAAGAACAACAGAAACAACUUAGAGAUAACUAAAUCGUGUUUGCCCCCUCCCAGUGCUGUGACAACCCACAUCCAUCCCAAAGGUCAGCCCUAGUGAAAUGGUGCAGUAGCAAAGGUUGUGUUCCAGAGUCCCAGACACUGACUCUUUGCUCCUGCUGCCUCAUGGGGAUCCCUCUUCUCCCCUCUCCUCUCAACCUCAGCCAGUGUCCUCAGAUUUCACCUUGUCCAAGCAAGUUUCCAAGAAACCAUCUGAUCUACUGAAUAUAAAUGAAUAACAACAGUAUUGCUUUUAUACAUACGCAUCAGAAAACAAUGUCAGAUUGAAACAGUCUGUUCAAAACCUCAUUGUGAGGACACUGAAAACAAAUUUGCCUGGAUUAAACAUCAGUUGGAGAAGAUCACUAUGUGUGUUUUCUGUUCAGGGGAAGAGGAGUGUCUAGACAGGGAAGCAAAGGAGGGCUGAGAUCAUGGACACAAAGGUUAGCAAGUUUAUGGGAUCCU
rnacentral:lncRNA from 13 species